rnacentral:rRNA from 1 species
UACGUAGGGUGCAAGCGUUGUCCGGAAUUAUUGGGCGUAAAGAGCUCGUAGGCGGUCUGUCGCGUCUGCUGUGAAAACUCGGGGCUUAACCCCGGGCCUGCAGUGGGUACGGGCAGACUAGAGUGCGGUAGGGGAGACUGGAAUUCCUGGUGUAGCGGUGAAAUGCGCAGAUAUCAGGAGGAACACCGGUGGCGAAGGCGGGCCUCUGGGCCGUAACUGACGCUGAGGAGCGAAAGCAUGGGGGAGCGAACAGG